GUAGAGUUACUUACUGUGCGGCAAAUAAAACAUCAAAGGAUUUGAGGCUUUUGAGGUUAAAACUAGAAUUUGUUUUUUGACUCGGGGCCUCUGAUACUA